rnacentral:lncRNA from 1 species
AUUUUACUAAAAAGACUUUAGUUUAUCCUCAUUACUAAUAAUGUUUUUGUUCUUGAUUUUACAUAGAUGCUACUUACCAUUUUAAGAGAAGCUUCAUUUACAUCUCUACUUUCUAGGUUUUUUUAGACAAGAAAGAGUAAAAAAGAAACAAACAAGAAUUGGUGGGGGUUUUGCCUAAAGCUUUUUUUAAAUCUAAAGAAAUUAUCAUAAGGUUUUUGUUGUUUUUCUUGUUGAUAUUAUCAAUUAUAUUUAUAGUUUUCCUAACAUGGAAUCAGCCCUGAAUUCCUGGUGUAAAUCCAGCUUAAUCAUAGUGUAUAUUUUUGUGAUAGGUUGUUUUAAUCUCUUUACUACUAUUUUAUUUAAAAAAUUUAUAUCAAUAUUAAUUAGAGCAAUUGAUCUGUACUUUUCUUUCUCUGUUUUGUCUCUCUCUGGUUUAGAUAUCAAGAUCAUAUUUAUCUCACAGAAGGAAUUUGCUGCCUGCAGUGUUUGUUCCUUGACUUGGAAACCUCUGGAUUGUGCAGUGUUUUUCGGUAGGUGUACAUUUUUUCCAUCUUCACUUUGUUCUCUAGUUUCAGCAGAUCUGGGAAGUUUUCAAUCAUGGCUUCCUGAAAUACAGUGUCAAGCAGCUUUGAAAGCUACAUGUUGA